UCUCCGUUGGUGAACCAGCGGAGGGAUCAUUACAGAGUCGUAAAACACUCCCAAACCCAUGUGAACUUACCAUUGUUGCCUCGGCAGAAGCUGCUCGGUGCACCCUACCUUGGAACGGCCUACCCUGUAGCGCCUUACCCUGGAACGGCUUACCCUGUAACGGCUGCCGGUGGACUACCAAACUCUUGUUAUACUAUUGUAAUCUGAGCGUCUUAUUUUAAUAAGUCAAAACUUUCAACAACGGAUCUCUUGGUUCUGGCAUCGAUGAAGAACGCAGC
rnacentral:misc_RNA from 1 species